GUCUGGUUGGGAGGAAGCCUCUCCUCGAUCCCUGAUAGAUCCUCCCUGUCCCGUUUCCUUUUAUUGAUGGGACACUUUUAUUUCCCGAAGUUAAAACACACGUUUGAUAGUUGCCAAAAUUGUGAAAAGGGAGAUCGUUCUCUGCUUUAACUUUCCCUUUUAACGUGUAUAGACUUUUACUUUGAGCCAAAAUAAUGCUGCUGAUGGUCUCUCCCGCCGCCCUAGCCUCCUUCACCAAUCC
rnacentral:lncRNA from 1 species